rnacentral:snRNA from 1 species
GUACUCACUUUGGCAGCACCUAUACUAAAAUUGAAACAAUUCAGAGAAGAUUAGCAUGCCCCCUGUACAAGGAUGACACACAAAUUCAUGAAGUGUUCCAUUCCAUA